CUGGCGGCGUGCCUAACACAUGCAAGUCGAACCGGGUAGAGAGCUUCGGUUUUCACUUAGUGGCGAACGGGUGAGUAACGCGUGAGGAACCUGCCUUCCAGUGGGGGGACAACAGUUGGAAACGACUGCUAAUACCGCAUAAUGUUUUCGGACCGCAUGAUCUGAAAACCAAAGCUUUAUGUGCUGGAAGAUGGCCUCGCGUCUGAUUAGCCUAGUUGGUGGGGUAACGGCCCACCAAGGCGACGAUCAGUAGCCGGUCUGAGAGGAUGAACGGCCACAUUGGGACUGAGAUACGGCCCAGACUCCUACGGGAGGCAGCAGUGGGGAAUAUUGCGCAAUGGGGGAAACCCUGACGCAGCAACGCCGCGUGAAGGAUGAAGGUUUUCGGAUCGUAAACUUAUGUCUUCGGGGACGAGAACGGACGGUACCCGAGGAGGAAGCCACGGCUAACUACGUG
rnacentral:rRNA from 1 species